UUGUCAUGGACUACUCUGUAGGAGAUCUUCCUGAUAUGAUGGAAGACACAAGCAGCCGCUAGGAAGGCCAUCUGGAAAAAAGGGCGCGCUAUUAGUUGCCACCUCUUCUAUUUCAUAACUGCUACUAGGCCUAUCAAGGUGAUUUUGUCUUACUGUACAUAUAAUGCACUUUCUUCUGGAUGCAUCGUGUCAUCAUUCCUAUUGGUCUACAUUAUGCCUGAGACUUUAGUUGUCUAUGUAGAGUUGUAUUUCAACCUAUGUUUGAUUAUGCUCCAUAUACGUUCCUGUAUGUUGUGAUGAAGGUGCAUAUGCAUUUUUCUAAUUUUGUGCAUUGAUAGGAUGAGGGUCUAGGACACAGAAUAUUAAAUCCACGGUCAGCUAUCAGCAAGGGUUGUGUAUUUUGUUUUCGUCGACAAUGCUCAAUAUGCAUUUGAGUGGCAAUGCUGAUAUAGUUCACAAAGACGAUUUGAUCACUUUUAUUGUCUGGUCGUGUACUAUUAUUUACUUUCUUUAUCUCCUUCUGUUGUGACUAAUAAUGUUUUGCUUAAUUAAACAUCAUGUAGAUCUUCUUGUUUUCACAAAUAAUCUAGGUUUCUACGCUGUUUCAAUCGUCCUUAGUUGAUCUAUCUGAUUUUUGAUUAUAGACUAUCUCUGAUUAUAAGUGAUUUUGGUGUUGUUUUUAGUUUGGCACUUCUCAUUUCAGAAAUCAGUAGUGAUCCUGGUAGUCAACCAUGCGAGUUUAGCGAGAACAAACAAAGGAGGAAAAAGCUCAAGACAUGUUUAGCAGCUUCUGCUAAGUAAGUCUCCCUAGAACCUUCAGCUCCAAAUAAAACAAAAAUUCAAGAGUAUGUUCUUCACACAUGAAAUAGAUAAAUGAUGGCAUGCUUGCUGCAUUUGAUCAGAUUGCGGAUCAAGAAGUUAAAGGACAUGCUUGUGUCUGGUAUGGGGGCUCAAGUCUGAGCUUUUGCUUGGCUUUAGGUGCAAACAUGGACCUUCAAUUCACCUAGAACAAGAAUCAAAUCCUUGUGCCAAUUGUUGUUGUCAUUUGUAGCCCAUUGGGUGUGACCAUGAUGUAGGCAUUCACUCUAGGAACUGAGAAUAAUUUGUUGAUCCUGCCUGGAAGGAAGACAGUGGUUCAAUAGUGAAUUUAACCACUUAUUUAUAGAUUUUUUUUCUUUUGUUGUGUUAUGUACGGAGAUGCAUAUUCUCAGGCUUAAGGUUUUAGUUAUGGUAGUUUGAAGUGCUAUUGAUUAUGUUAUUGUAACUGGUCCUUGAUCAGCAUGGUGACCAAAGGGAUGCCUCUUGAAAAUUAAGAUCCUUAUUUCGAGAUUGAGGUGAUGUAAACUUGAGUUCUGAAAUGUGCUCUUGGCGAAAUGUGUACUUAGUUUGUUUUAGAUUUAGUGGGUUGCACCAAGGCUCUCAUACUUUAUAGGGCAAUUCAUUAUAUCAUUGAUGUUCUUCAUAUAUGAUUGCAACAUGUGCUAAACCUG
rnacentral:lncRNA from 1 species